GAAAGUACGACAUUGCUCACAUUGCUUCCAGUGUUUACUUUUAUAAGCCAACUUGAUGUUGGCUUUUUUUU
rnacentral:antisense_RNA from 1 species